CACUGCCCCACCCCUGGGCACGCUGGGAAAUGUAGUCCCGAAGGGAGGCGUUGAGGGAGGGUCGGGGUUGUGUCGCUCCGCGUCCCCUCAGACACCGGAGCCGCCCCUCGCCCCCGCUCCGCUCUGCUCUGCUCUGGGGACGCGGGGCUCGCCCCACGAACGCUCGGCAGCGCUCACUCCGCAGGGAAGGACGAAGCCCCUCACCGAAUGCACUUGUGGGAGAGGCACUGCACCUCCUGCAGCGUUGGAACCUGAGGAAAUUGGCCACCAGGAGCUGUGAUUUCCUUCUGUGAUCCUCCAGCUGUUCCACCUCUCUGUGCUGGUUUCCUGCAGAAGCUUUGUAUAAAGCCAAGCCUCUGGCUGGGGUUGCUCCAAAACCAUUCAUCAUCUUCUACCUGGA
rnacentral:lncRNA from 1 species